GGUAGCACAGAGAGCUUGCUCUUGGGUGACGAGUGGCGGACGGGUGAGUAAUGUCUGGGGAUCUGCCCGAUAGAGGGGGAUAACCACUGGAAACGGUGGCUAAUACCGCAUAACGUCGCAAGACCAAAGAGGGGGACCUUCGGGCCUCUCACUAUCGGAUGAACCCAGAUGGGAUUAGCUAGUAGGCGGGGUAAUGGCCCACCUAGGCGACGAUCCCUAGCUGGUCUGAGAGGAUGACCAGCCACACUGGAACUGAGACACGGUCCAGACUCCUACGGGAGGCAGCAGUGGGGAAUAUUGCACAAUGGGCGCAAGCCUGAUGCAGCCAUGCCGCGUGUAUGAAGAAGGCCUUCGGGUUGUAAAGUACUUUCAGCGGGGAGGAAGGCGAUGUGGUUAAUAACCGUAUCGAUUGACGUUACCCGCAGAAGAAGCACCGGCUAACUCCGUGCCAGCAGCCGCGGUAAUACGGAGGGUGCAAGCGUUAAUCGGAAUUACUGGGCGUAAAGCGCACGCAGGCGGUCUGUUAAGUCAGAUGUGAAAUCCCCGGGCUUAACCUGGGAACUGCAUUUGAAACUGGCAGG
rnacentral:rRNA from 1 species